rnacentral:misc_RNA from 1 species
ACGUUUUCCAGCCUUGAAAACGAGGCUCCAAAACAUGCAAUUCACGGGGGAGUCAAGGGUUUCCACUUGAAAUUGUUUGAAUCCUGGAUUGACGGCGACAAAGUGAAGAUGAAGUAUGUGAGCCCUGACGGAGAGGAGGGAUUCCCCGGGGAACUGACUACCAUUGUGUCCUACCAACUGACCAAUCAGAACGAACUAGUGACUGAGUACAGCGCCACCACCACGAAAACAACGAUCGUCAAUUUCACAAACCACGCCUACUUCAACUUACAGAAACACGAUUACCCGAACAUAGACGACCACGUACUACAAAUUUCCGCAGAUAAAUACACUGUCAACAAAGACGAUGAUAUCUUCAUUCCGUCAGGAGAGUUGCGGGCCGUAGCAGAUACGCCGUUUGACUUCCGGAAGCCGGUCAGACUCGGGGACCGACUGAAGGAGGGACCCCACGGGAGAGGUUUCUUCCAUAACUUUUGUCUAGGGGAGUCAGGACCUCUCAAACAAGCGGCUGUUUUAGAUCACCCUCCGACCGGAAGAAGACUGGAGGUUCUCACCACCGAGCCGGGAAUGCACCUAUAUACCGGAUGUAACACCAUUCCCCACACCAAGGGUAAAGAUGGCGCCGUUUACGAGCCAUUCUGUUCCGUGUGUCUGGAGACCCAGCAUUAUCCGGACACACCUACUCAUCAGGACAAGUUUCCCAGUAUCGUGUUGAGACCUGGUGAAAAUUUCUACAGCAAGACCAUCUUCAAGUUCGGCCUGAUUCCUCAGUAAUUCCGUCACACGUUGUGAUAUAUACAAAAUGCACUUUUACUUUUUUACACUUUGUAAUAGAAAUAUCUCAAUGAAAUAAAUAAUGUA